rnacentral:ncRNA from 1 species
CCUCAAAAAAGGCACACUUGCUGAAAAGUAAGGUCGCAAAGUCUUGAGUCUAAAGCAUAAAGCCAUGACUGUCGGACUGCUGAA